rnacentral:rRNA from 1 species
ACUGAGGGUAGCGGAGAAAUUCCAAUCGAACUUGGAGAUAGCUGGUUCUCUCCGAAAUAGCUUUAGGGCUAGCCUCAAGUGAUGAUUAUUGGAGGUAGAGCACUGUUUGGACGAGGGGCCCUUCUCGGGUUACCGAAUUCAGACAAACUCCGAAUGCCAAUCAAUUUAACUUGGGAGUCAGAACAUGGGUGAUAAGGUCCGUGUUCGAAAGGGAAACAGCCCAGACCACCAGCUAAGGUCCCAAAAUAUAUGUUAAGUGGAAAAGGAUGUGGCGUUGCCCAGA